UUGCCAGCCCGCUCAGAAACUUAAAGGAAUUGACGGGGCCCGCACAAGCGGAGGAGCAUGUGGUUUAAUUCGAUGAUACGCGAGGAACCUUACCUGGGCUCGAACGUAAGAUGACUGUAGGUGAAAGCUUACAUCUCUUCGGAGCAUUUUACGAGGUGCUGCAUGGUUGUCGUCAGCUCGUGCCGUGAGGUGUCGGGUUAAGUCCCAUAACGAGCGCAACCCUACCUUUAGUUGCCAUCAGGUUAAGCUGGGGACUCUAAAGGAACUGCCUACGCAAGUAGUGAGGAAGGCGGGGAUGACGUCAAAUCAGCACGGCCCUUACGUCCAGGGCUACACACGUGCUACAAUGGCCGAUACAGAGGGCAGCUACCUGGUGACAGGAUGCAAAUCUCCAAAGUCGGUCUCAGUUCGGAUCGGAGUCUGCAGCCCGACUCCGUGAAGUUGGAUUCGCUAGUAAUCGCGCAUCAGCCAUGGCGCGGUGAAUACGUUCCCGGGCCUU
rnacentral:rRNA from 1 species